ACCAACACUUGAGUUUGAGAUUGCCACUGGAUGUUGAGUCGAAAAAUGAAACAUAAAGUACCUAACUUGCACACAGAAAACAAACUAUAUGUUGAGUAUAACUCAGUGGUAUUUCUAUAAUCCGAACAUAAAAGCAAAAAAUAAAUCAUCAAGAUGUAUAAGUUAAAAUCUAAACAUUUUGCAACUUAUCACAUUCAAAAUACCAAUUUCACAUAUCCAUAGAUCCGAAACUAGCACAUUUCCACAAUAUUAGUAUAUGACUAUCACACUUCACAAGUCAUUCAAUAACAUAACCCUUGUAAUGUCAUGUUUCAUAUCAAUUUCCAGUCUCAUGUUUUCAUGGAACAUGAUAUAUCAUUGUUUACAAUUCAUUCCACAAUUUCUUAUUUUAUUUUCCAUUUCAAUUCCAUUUCUCUUCUUUUUUUUCCCUAUCAAUAUCAUAUAACUCAUUUUAUCAUUUAUUUCCCUAUUACCACGACUUGGACUUAAACAGAUACACGGAUCCAACCAACACAUUGAUUUGGCACCCAGUGCCCGAAGCAAAUAGUUGCGCCGAAUGCUAUUAAUAAGUUUGACACCUAGUGUCUCAUUGGUUAAACUGAAACAAAUUGGCACCCAGAGCCUAAUCUACUUAUAGUCGAAGAAUCCCUGAGCUCUUCCUAUCCUAUGGUACACUAUCUAUAUCUGACUCUACGCAAACAGUUAAUAGUGUUUUCGUUACCAACCAAUAUCUCUAUUCCCAUUUGUUUUCAAUAUGAAAGCAUUUAUUCAUCAUUCACAACAUCAACAAUAUUUCAAUACAUACUCAAUUUUCAAAUUUAUAGAAAAUACACACAUUUCACAAAUAUAAUCAAUUUCUUCAUAAUCAUCAAUUGAUUCAAAUCAUCUCAAAUGAUCAAUAAAUCUUACCUCAUAACCUUACCAUGAAUAAAUAAGUCAAUAUGAAGCAAUCUAUAAGUUAGUUUGAAUUAUAGAAACACAAAUCGUAAAUUUCGAACUAUUCAUCGGUGACUUUGUCUUUUCCUUUCUUUUUCGAAGAAUUUGGGUUGACAUUAGCUACGGAUUAAAACAGACAUAAUAAAUUAUCAAUACAUAGCCAAUUUCACAUUCAAUUUCCAAUUUAUACAACUUUUACAUUUUAUUCAAUUUAGUCCCUAAAAUCGGGGCUAACAUAACUUUCACAUUUAACCUCCAAUUUUUAUAUCGUUUUCACUCUAGGCCUAAUUUAACUUUCUAUUUCACAUUUCUACCAAUAAAUUCAAUAUUUAUUCAUUUUAGUCCCUAUUGCACAACUUUAACAAUUCACUUUACAAUCUAGUCCUUAUCAAUUCUAAACUUAAAAUUUAUCAAAAUAGCACCUCAAAGUCUAAAUAUUCAAUGAUUAUAAUGUAACGACUCGAAAUUUAGUGGUACCAAAAAAUUUGAUUUUGAGACUUCGUUUCUAUAAACCGAUGUCAUAAAUAUUUUUAAUUAAAUAUUUACGGAGUUAUGUUAUAGGUGAAUUGAUUUUUUUUGGUUAGGUAAUUUUAUCGAAUUAGUGUUUGACUAAGGUACUGGGACUAAAUCGUAAAAUUUGUAAAAUUUCAAUUGUUAUAGAUUAUUAUUUAAUAAUAGAAUAAGUACUUAAGUGGUAAUUAAACCAAUACAUAAAGAAUAGUGGACGACUAGUGGAUUGUUUUACUUAUUUAUGUAAUAAAAUGUUAAUAAAAUAAUAAUUAAAAAAAAUCUCAUUAAUACUAAAAAAUGGGGUUUUAAUAAAAAAAAGAAGAAUAUUAAAAAAAGAGGAGAGUCUUCUUCAACCUGGAUUAUUUUUUUUUUGAAAGGGAGGACACUUAAAAAAAAUUCUGCUUUAAAAAAAAUUCUGCUUGUUUUUCUGGCUACAAUUCGAUUAGAGAGGGAGAAGAGAAUUGUUGCAUGCUAAAUUUUGAGCUCGUUUAGAAGCUAAUUUUCCUCAAGAAACUUGCAAAAAGGGGAAGGAGAAGGCAGCGGCAAAGGGGAAGAGAUCUUACUCAAGGUUAUGGUUGACUUCGAGUUUCUGUGAGUCCUCUAUACAUUUUUCUUUCUUGAUUGCUUUGUUACACUUUCAUGCUGGUAUGAAUGUAUAAAUCCAAGGAAAAUUUUGGUGGAAUGCAUGUUGUCGAGGGAGCUGCUUAUGCAUGCAGUUUUUUUUUAAGCAGGCUAUUAAAUUUCUUCGCCAGAAAAAGGUGGUUCGGUUGGUGGUGAUCUA
rnacentral:lncRNA from 1 species